UACGUAGGGCGCAAGCGUUAUCCGGAAUUAUUGGGCGUAAAGAGCUCGUAGGCGGUUUGUCGCGUCUGCUGUGAAAGACCGGGGCUCAACUCCGGUUCUGCAGUGGGUACGGGCAGACUAGAGUGAUGUAGGGGAGACUUGAAUUCCUGGUGUAGCGGUGAAAUGCGCAGAUAUCAGGAGGAACACCGAUGGCGAAGGCAGGUCUCUGGGCAUUAACUGACGCUGAGGAGCGAAAGCAUGGGGAGCGAACAGG
rnacentral:rRNA from 1 species